rnacentral:tRNA from 1 species
UCUAAUAUGGCAGAUUAGUGCACUGGGUUUAAGCCUCAAUCAUAAAGCUCUAGCUUUUUUUAGAA